AUUCAGGCCGGUCCUGCAGAGAGGAAGCCCUUCCAAUACCUGUAAGCAGAAGGGCUUCCUCUCUGCAGGACCGGCCUGAAU
ncrna:Homo sapiens (human) microRNA hsa-mir-3158 precursor (hsa-mir-3158-2)